rnacentral:rRNA from 1 species
AACGCGAAGAACCUUACCUGGCCUUGACAUCCCGAUGACCGGCGUGUAAUGGCGCCUUUUCUUCGGAACAUUGGAGACAGGUGGUGCAUGGUUGUCGUCAGCUCGUGUCGUGAGAUGUUGGGUUAAGUCCCGCAACGAGCGCAACCCUUAUCUUCAGUAGCCAGCAAUUCGGUUGGGCACUCUGGAGAGACUGCCAGGGAGAACCUGGAGGAAGGUGGGGAUGACGUCAAAUCAUCAUGCCCCUUAUGGCCAGGGCUACACACGUGCUACAAUGGCGUAAACAAAGGGAAGCGAGCAUGUGAGUGUGAGCAAAUCUCAAAAAUAACGUCUCAGUUCGGAUUGUAGUCUGCAACUCGACUACAUGAAGCUGGAAUCGCUAGUAAUCGCGGAUCAGCAUGCCGCGGUGAAUACGUUCCCGGGUCUUGUACACACC